GACGAACGCUGGCGGCGUGCUUAACACAUGCAAGUCGAACGGAAAGGCCCAGCUUGCUGGGUACUCGAGUGGCGAACGGGUGAGUAACACGUGGGUGAUCUGCCCUGGACUCUGGGAUAAGCCUGGGAAACUGGGUCUAAUACCGGAUAUGACCUUACAUCGCAUGGUGUUUGGUGGAAAGCUUUUGCGGUUCAGGAUGGGCCCGCGGCCUAUCAGCUUGUUGGUGGGGUACUGGCCUACCAAGGCGACGACGGGUAGCCGACCUGAGAGGGUGAUAGGCCACACUGGGACGGAGAAACGGCCCAGACUCCUACGGGAGGAAGCAGUGGGGAAUAUUGCACAAUGGGCGCAAGCCUGAUGCAGCGACGCCGCGUGAGGGAUGACGGCCUUCGGGUUGUAAACCUCUUUCACCAGGGACGAAGCGUGAGUGACGGUACCUGGAGAAGAAGCACCGGCCAACUACGU
rnacentral:rRNA from 1 species